AAGGUUUUACGGGUGAAUGCUCUUUGGAGAUGAAAAUCUCAGAGAGAGGAAAGUCCGGACUCCGCAUGGCAGCCUAAGGGGUAACGCCCCUCCACCGCAAGGUGAGGACCAGUGGAACAGAAAGAAUGUCCAGAGCUAUGAUCUUAAUAGUGGGAACGGGAGCUAUUUUGGGAGCUGCUGGAGUGAAAACAGCUAAACUUCUAGGCGGAGCAAGGUCAAAUAGGGAGACGUUGGAGUGCGGCCAGCACAAGUCUUCGGGUAGACUGCUUAAGGGUAUGAGUAAUUGUGCUCUCAGAGGAAUGUUCACCAAUGUUAGUUUGUCGAGGAACUAGCGGAACAGAAUCCGGCUUACAGCAAAACCUUUUAA
rnacentral:RNase_P_RNA from 1 species